GGAGAAGAGGUCACACUUAUUUUCUGGUUCUCAUGUCAUGUUUCCACUUCUUUGUUUUCCUAACAGACACAUCUGAUUCCCUGCUCUGUUGCAUGGCUGAGACACUGACAACUCACUCACAGGCCCUCAGAUGCCCCGGAUGCUAGUCCAGCUUUGAGAACUUCUGCCUACUGUUACCUUCUCGGAGCUGAUGAACCUCCCGUAGCAAGCAACACCUCCUCUCUACUCUCAGGACUUUCCCAGGAGAUGCCCCAGAAGAUCCAUCUCCUGGCAAUGGUUACAGCUCUGUUGGAGUUCGUAAAACCUACCUCUUCCUAUCAGCACGCAUGGUUCUUGUCCGAAUUCCA
rnacentral:lncRNA from 1 species